UUCGUUGCUGAUUGAAAUUGCAGAUAUUUUGACAGCAGCACAUGCAAUCUUUCAGUGACAGAAUGAUGGGUCUAUGAAGGCAAGAGAAGUGCUAGAUAUGGUGAUGAAUAUCUACAUCAAGACUAUGACUGAAGAUCAUGACAAGGAAGUUGUUGCAAAUGCGUGUAUGAGGCAUAGCUGAUGUUAUCAAGGAUUAUGGUUAUAUGGCUCUAGAGCCUUAUAUGUCUUUGAUUGU